AUAUUUUGAACCGCAUGGUUCAAAAGUGAAAGACGGUCUUGCUGUCACUUAUAGAUGGAUCCGCGCUGCAUUAGCUAGUUGGUAAGGUAACGGCUUACCAAGGCAACGAUGCAUAGCCGACCUGAGAGGGUGAUCGGCCACACUGGAACUGAGACACGGUCCAGACUCCUACGGGAGGCAGCAGUAGGGAAUCUUCCGCAAUGGGCGAAAGCCUGACGGAGCAACGCCGCGUGAGUGAUGAAGGUCUUCGGAUCGUAAAACUCUGUUAUUAGGGAAGAACAUAUGUGUAAGUAACUGUGCACAUCUUGACGGUACCUAAUCAGAAAGCCACGGCUAACUACGUGCCAGCAGCCGCGGUAAUACGUAGGUGGCAAGCGUUAUCCGGAAUUAUUGGGCGUAAAGCGCGCGUAGGCGGUUUUUUAAGUCUGAUGUGAAAGCCCACGGCUCAACCGUGGAGGGUCAUUGGAAACUGGAAAACUUGAGUGCAGAAGAGGAAAGUGGAAUUCCAUGUGUAGCGGUGAAAUGCGCAGAGAUAUGGAGGAACACCAGUGGCGAAGGCGACUUUCUGGUCUGUAACUGACGCUGAUGUGCGAAAGCGUGGGGAUCAAACAGGAUUAGAUACCCUGGUAGUCCACGCCGUAAACGAUGAGUGCUAAGUGUUAGGGGGUUUCCGCCCCUUAGUGCUGCAGCUAACGCAUUAAGCACUCCGCCUGGGGAGUACGACCGCAAGGUUGAAACUCAAAGGAAUUGACGGGGACCCGCACAAGCGGUGGAGCAUGUGGUUUAAUUCGAAGCAACGCGAAGAACCUUACCAAAUCUUGACAUCCUUUGACAACUCUAGAGAUAGAGCUUUCCCCUUCGGGGGACAAAGUGACAGGUGGUGCAUGGUUGUCGUCAGCUCGUGUCGUGAGAUGUUGGGUUAAGUCCCGCAACGAGCGCAACCCUUAAGCUUAGUUGCCAUCAUUAAGUUGGGCACUCUAAGUUGACUGCCGGUGACAAACCGGAGGAAGGUGGGGAUGACGUCAAAUCAUCAUGCCCCUUAUGAUUUGGGCUACACACGUGCUACAAUGGACAAUACAAAGGGCAGCGAAACCGCGAGGUCAAGCAAAUCCCAUAAAGUUGUUCUCAGUUCGGAUUGUAGUCUGCAACUCGACUACAUGAAGCUGGAAUCGCUAGUAAUCGUAGAUCAGCAUGCUACGGUGAAUACGUUCCCGGGUCUUGUACACACCGCCCGUCACACCACGAGAGUUUGUAACACCCGAAGCCGGUGGAGUAACCUUUUAGGAGCUAGCCGUCGAAG
rnacentral:rRNA from 1 species